GCCAGACUCCUACGGGAGGCAGCAGUGGGGAAUAUUGGACAAUGGGGGGAACCCUGAUCCAGCGACGCCGCGUGAGUGAAGAAGUAUUUCGGUAUGUAAAGCUCUAUCAGCAGGGAAGAAAGAAAUGACGGUACCUGACUAAGAAGCCCCGGCUAACUACGUGCCAGCAGCCGCGGUAAUACGUAGGGGGCAAGCGUUAUCCGGAUUUACUGGGUGUAAAGGGGGCGCAGACGGCGAUGCAAGCCAGGAGUGAAAGCCCGGGGCCCAACCCCGGGACUGCUCUGGGAACUGUGCGGCUGGAGUGCGGGAGGGGCAGGCGGAAUUCCUGGUGUAGCGGUGAAAUGCGUAGAUAUCAGGAGGAACACCGGCGGCGAAGGCGGCCUGCUGGACCGCGACUGACGUUGAGGCUCGAAAGCGUGGGGAGCAAACAGGAUUAGAUACCCCCGUA
rnacentral:rRNA from 1 species